GACGAACGCUGGCGGCGCGCCUAACACAUGCAAGUCGAACGGAGUCAAGAGGAGCUUGCUUUUCUUGACUUAGUGGCGAACGGGUGAGUAACGCGUGAGUAACCUGCCCUGGAGUGGGGGACAACAGUUGGAAACGACUGCUAAUACCGCAUAAGCCCACGGAUCUGCAUGGAUCUGCGGGAAAAGGAUUUAUUCGCUCUAGGAUGGACUCGCGUCCAAUUAGCUAGUUGGUGAGGUAACGGCCCACCAAGGCGACGAUUGGUAGCCGGACUGAGAGGUUGAACGGCCACAUUGGGACUGAGACACGGCCCAGACUCCUACGGGAGGCAGCAGUGGGGGAUAUUGCACAAUGGGGGAAACCCUGAUGCAGCGACGCCGCGUGGAGGAAGAAGGUUUUCGGAUUGUAAACUCCUGCCGUUAGGGACGAUAAUGACGGUACCUAACAAGAAAGCACCGGCUAACUACGUG
rnacentral:rRNA from 1 species